rnacentral:rRNA from 1 species
AAGUCCCGCAAGGGAUCAGUAGAGUGGCAAACGGGUGAGUAACACGUGGGUGACCUGCCUUCGAGUGGGGGAUAACGUCCCGAAAGGGACGCUAAUACCGCAUGACAUCCUGCCUUUGAAGAGGUGGAGCUUAAAGCUGGGGAUCGCAAGACCUAGCGCUUGAAGAGGGGCCCGCGUCUGAUUAGCUAGUUGGUGAGGUAACGGCUCACCAAGGCAUCGAUCAGUAUCCGGCCUGAGAGGGCGGACGGACACACUGGGACUGAGACACGGCCCAGACUCCUACGGGAGGCAGCAGUGGGGAAUUGUUCGCAAUGGGCGCAAGCCUGACGACGCAACGCCGCGUGGAGGAUGAAGACCUUCGGG